rnacentral:rRNA from 1 species
UACGGGGGGGGCAAGCGUUGUUCGGAAUUACUGGGCGUAAAGGGCUCGUAGGCGGCCAACUAAGUCAGACGUGAAAUCCCUCGGCUUAACCGGGGAACUGCGUCUGAUACUGGAUGGCUUGAGUUUGGGAGAGGGAUGCGGAAUUCCAGGUGUAGCGGUGAAAUGUGUAGAGAUCGGGAGGAACACCGGUGGCGAAGGCGGGUCUCUGGGCAAUUCCUGACGCUGAGGCGCGAAAGCGUGGGGAGCAAACGGG